ACCUACGGGGGGCAGCAGUGGGGAAUAUUGGACAAGGGGGGAAACCCUGAUGCAGCGACGCCGCGUGAGUGAAGAAGUAUUUCGGUAUGUAAAGCUCUAUCAGCAGGGAAGAAGAAGGACGGUACCUGAGUAAGAAGCCCCGGCUAACUACGUGCCAGCAGCCGCGGUAAUACGUAGGGGGCAAGCGUUAUCCGGAUUUACUGGGUGUAAAGGGAGCGUAGACGGCUGUGCAAGUCUGAAGUGAAAGCCCGUGGCUCAACCGCGGAACUGCUUUGGAAACUGUAUAGCUUGAGUACUGGAGAGGC
rnacentral:rRNA from 1 species